AUUGAACGCUGGCGGCAGGCUUAACACAUGCAAGUCGAGCGGGGGAAGGUAGCUUGCUACCGGACCUAGCGGCGGACGGGUGAGUAAUGCUUAGGAAUCUGCCUAUUAGUGGGGGACAACAUCUCGAAAGGGAUGCUAAUACAGCAUACGUCCUACGGGAGAAAGCAGGGGAUCUUCGGACCUUGCGCUAAUAGAUGAGCCGAAGUCGGAUUAGCUAGUUGGUGGGGUAAAGGCCUACCAAGGCGACGAUCUGUAGCGGGUCUGAGAGGGUGGUCCGCCACACUGGGACUGAGACACGGCCCAGACUCCUACGGGAGGCAGCAGUGGGGAAUAUUGGACAAUGGGGGGAACCCUGAUCUAGCCAUGCCGCGUGUGUGAAGAAGGCCUUAUGGUUGUAAAGCACUUUAAGCGAGGAGGAGGCUACUUUAGUUAAUACCUAGAGAUAGUGGACGUUACUCGCAGAAUAAGCACCGGCUAACUCUGUGCCAGCAGCCGCCGUAA
rnacentral:rRNA from 1 species